UGGGGAAUAUUGCACAAUGGGCGCAAGCCUGAUGCAGCCAUGCCGCGUGUAUGAAGAAGGCCUUCGGGUUGUAAAGUACUUUCAGUCGGGAGGAAGGUGGUAAGGUUAAUAACCUUAUCAAUUGACGUUACCGACAGAAGAAGCACCGGCUAACUCCGUGCCAGCAGCCGCGGUAAUACGGAGGGUGCAAGCGUUAAUCGGAAUUACUGGGCGUAAAGCGCACGCAGGCGGUCUGUCAAGUCGGAUGUGAAAGCCCCGGGCUCAACCUGGGAACUGCAUUCGAAACUGGCAGGCUAGAGUCUUGUAGAGGGGGGUAGAAUUCCAGGUGUAGCGGUGAAAUGCGUAGAGAUCUGGGGGAAUACCGGUGGCGAAGGCGGCCCCCUGGACAAAGACUGACGCUCAGGUGCGAAAGCGUGGGGAGCAAACAGG
rnacentral:rRNA from 1 species